UACGGGGGGGGCAAGCGUUGUUCGGAAUUACUGGGCGUAAAGGGUUCGUAGGUGGCUUGCUAAGUCAGACGUGAAAUCCCUCAGCUUAACUGGGGAACUGCGUCUGAGACUGGCAGGCUUGAGUGCAGGAGAGGAACGCGGAAUUCCAGGUGUAGCGGUGAAAUGCGUAGAUAUCUGGAGGAACACCGGUGGCGAAGGCGGCGUCCUGGCCGCUUGCUGACACUGAGGCACGAAAGCUGGGGGAGCAAACAGG
rnacentral:rRNA from 1 species